rnacentral:tRNA from 1 species
GCCGAUGUGGCUCAGGGGUAGAGCGGCUCUUUCGUAAAGAGUAGGUCGGGGGUUCGAAUCCCUCCAUCGGCUCCA